rnacentral:misc_RNA from 1 species
AGCAGCCGCGGUAAUUCCAGCUCCAAUAGCGUAUAUUAAAGUUGUUGCAGUUAAAAAGCUCGUAGUUGAAUUUCGGGAUCAAGGAAUCGGUCAUGCCUCGGUAUGUACUGGUUUUAUUGGUUCUCACCUUCUAAAGAACCAUGAUGUCAUUCAUUUGAUGUUAUGGGGAAUUAGGACUGUUACCUUGAAAAAAUUAGAGUGUUUAAAGCAGGCUUACGCUUGAAUACAUUAGCAUGGAAUAAUGAAAUAGGACAUCAGAUUCUAUUUUGUUGGUUUCUAGGAUCGAUGUAAUGAUUAAUAGGGAUAGUUGGGGGCAUUAGUAUUCAAUUGUCAGAGGUGAAAUUCUUGGAUUUAUUGAAGACUAACUACUGCGAAAGCAUUUGCCAAGGAUGUUUUCAUUAAUCAAGAACGAAAGUUAGGGGAUCGAAGACGAUCAGAUACCGUCGUAGUCUUAACCAUAAACUAUGCCGACUAGGGAUCGGAUGAUGUUUAUUUUUUAGUGACUCAUUUCGGCACC